UGGCUCGGUUUCCUGGGGGGUGGGCUCAGCCUUGCCCACCUCCCCUCAGACGAGCCGAGAGUAGAGAGACUGGGCUUCCUUCCCCAGGGGAGAGGUGGUUAAGAAAGGUGCCUCACCUGGACUGUCCUCGCCUCACAUUU
ensembl:scaRNA